ncrna:unclassified sequences pemK RNA
AUAAUGAGACUUCUGUCAAUUCGAAAUUGAGCGUUGAAAGCGUCGCACGUCAGAUGGCAGUCCGAGCGUAUUGCUGGGAAGGUGGAAUCCCUAUGG